rnacentral:rRNA from 1 species
UACGUAGGGUGCAAGCGUUUGUCCGGAAUUAUUGGGCGUAAAGAGCUCGUAGGCGGUCUGUCACGUCGGCUGUGAAAACCCGGGGGCUCAACCCCGGGCCUGCAGUCGAUACGGGCAGACUAGAGUGCGGUAGGGGAGACUGGAAUUCCUGGUGUAGCGGUGAAAUGCGCAGAUAUCAGGAGGAACACCGGUGGCGAAGGCGGGUCUCUGGGCCGUAACUGACGCUGAGGAGCGAAAGCGUGGGGAGCGAACAGG